UUAAGCGACUAAGCGUACACGGUGGAUGCCCUGGCAGUCAGAGGCGAUGAAGGACGUGCUAAUCUGCGAUANGUUGUGAAAUGUUGGGUUAAGUCCCGCAACGAGCGCAACCCUUAUCCUUUGUUGCCAGCGGUCCGGCCGGGAACUCAAAGGAGACUGCCAGUGAUAAACUGGAGGAAGGUGGGGAUGACGUCAAGUCAUCAUGGCCCUUACGACCAGGGCUACACACGUGCUACAAUGGCGCAUACAAAGAGAAGCGACCUCGCGAGAGCAAGCGGACCUCAUAAAGUGCGUCGUAGUCCGGAUUGGAGUCUGCAACUCGACUCCAUGAAGUCGGAAUCGCUAGUAAUCGUGGAUCAGAAUGCCACGGUGAAUACGUUCCCGGGCCUUGUACACACCGCCCGUCACACCAUGGGAGUGGGUUGCAAAAGAAGUAGGUAGCUUAACCUUCGGGAGGGCGCUUACCACUUUGUGAUUCAUGACUGGGGUGAAGUCGUAACAAGGUAACCGUAGGGGAACCUGCGGUUGGAUCACCUCCUUACCUUAAAGAAGCGUACUUUGCAGUGCUCACACAGAUUGUCUGAUAGAAAGUGAAAAGCAAGGCGUCUUGCGAAGCAGACUGAUACGUCCCCUUCGUCUAGAGGCCCAGGACACCGCCCUUUCACGGCGGUAACAGGGGUUCGAAUCCCCUAGGGGACGCCACUUGCUGGUUUGUGAGUGAAAGUCACCUGCCUUAAUAUCUCAAAACUCAUCUUCGGGUGAUGUUUGAGAUAUUUGCUCUUUAAAAAUCUGGAUCAAGCUGAAAAUUGAAACACUGAACAACGAAAGUUGUUCGUGAGUCUCUCAAAUUUUCGCAACUCUGAAGUGAAACAUCUUCGGGUUGUGAGGUUAAGCGACUAAGCGUACACGGUGGAUGCCCUGGCAGUCAGAGGCGAUGAAGGACGUGCUAAUCUGCGAUAAGCGUCGGUNAGCCCAGAGCCUGAAUCAGUGUGUGUGUUAGUGGAAGCGUCUGGAAAGGCGCGCGAUACAGGGUGACAGCCCCGUACACAAAAAUGCACAUGCUGUGAGCUCGAUGAGUAGGGCGGGACACGUGGUAUCCUGUCUGAAUAUGGGGGGACCAUCCUCCAAGGCUAAAUACUCCUGACUGACCGAUAGUGAACCAGUACCGUGAGGGAAAGGCGAAAAGAACCCCGGCGAGGGGAGUGAAAAAGAACCUGAAACCGUGUACGUACAAGCAGUGGGAGCCUCUUUUAUGGGGUGACUGCGUACCUUUUGUAUAAUGGGUCAGCGACUUAUAUUCUGUAGCAAGGUUAACCGAAUAGGGGAGCCGAAGGGAAACCGAGUCUUAACUGGGCGUUAAGUUGCAGGGUAUAGACCCGAAACCCGGUGAUCUAGCCAUGGGCAGGUUGAAGGUUGGGUAACACUAACUGGAGGACCGAACCGACUAAUGUUGAAAAAUUAGCGGAUGACUUGUGGCUGGGGGUGAAAGGCCAAUCAAACCGGGAGAUAGCUGGUUCUCCCCGAAAGCUAUUUAGGUAGCGCCUCGUGAAUUCAUCUCCGGGGGUAGAGCACUGUUUCGGCAAGGGGGUCAUCCCGACUUACCAACCCGAUGCAAACUGCGAAUACCGGAGAAUGUUAUCACGGGAGACACACGGCGGGUGCUAACGUCCGUCGUGAAGAGGGAAACAACCCAGACCGCCAGCUAAGGUCCCAAAGUCAUGGUUAAGUGGGAAACGAUGUGGGAAGGCCCAGACAGCCAGGAUGUUGGCUUAGAAGCAGCCAUCAUUUAAAGAAAGCGUAAUAGCUCACUGGUCGAGUCGGCCUGCGCGGAAGAUGUAACGGGGCUAAACCAUGCACCGAAGCUGCGGCAGCGACGCUUAUGCGUUGUUGGGUAGGGGAGCGUUCUGUAAGCCUGUGAAGGUGUGCUGUGAGGCAUGCUGGAGGUAUCAGAAGUGCGAAUGCUGACAUAAGUAACGAUAAAGCGGGUGAAAAGCCCGCUCGCCGGAAGACCAAGGGUUCCUGUCCAACGUUAAUCGGGGCAGGGUGAGUCGACCCCUAAGGCGAGGCCGAAAGGCGUAGUCGAUGGGAAACAGGUUAAUAUUCCUGUACUUGGUGUUACUGCGAAGGGGGGACGGAGAAGGCUAUGUUGGCCGGGCGACGGUUGUCCCGGUUUAAGCGUGUAGGCUGGUUUUCCAGGCAAAUCCGGAAAAUCAAGGCUGAGGCGUGAUGACGAGGCACUACGGUGCUGAAGCAACAAAUGCCCUGCUUCCAGGAAAAGCCUCUAAGCAUCAGGUAACAUCAAAUCGUACCCCAAACCGACACAGGUGGUCAGGUAGAGAAUACCAAGGCGCUUGAGAGAACUCGGGUGAAGGAACUAGGCAAAAUGGUGCCGUAACUUCGGGAGAAGGCACGCUGAUAUGUAGGUGAAGCGACUUGCUCGUGGAGCUGAAAUCAGUCGAAGAUACCAGCUGGCUGCAACUGUUUAUUAAAAACACAGCAC
rnacentral:rRNA from 1 species